CCUACGGGAGGCAGCAGUGGGGAAUAUUGCACAAUGGGGGAAACCCUGAUGCAGCGACGCCGCGUGCGUGAAGAAGUAUUUCGGUAUGUAAAGCUCUAUCAGCAGGGAAGAAAAUGACGGUACCUGUUUAAUAAGCCCCGGCUAACUACGUGCCAGCAGCCGCGGUAAUACGUAGGGGGCAGGCGUUAUCCGGAUUUACUGGGUGUAAAGGGAGCGUAUACGGCAGCGCAAGUCUGAAGUGAAAUGCCGGGGCUUAACCCCGGAACUGCAUUGGAAACUGUGCAGCUAGAGUGCAGGAGAGGUAAGUGGAAUUCCUAGUGUAGCGGUGAAAUGCGUAGAUAUUAGGAGGAACACCAGUGGCGAAGGCGGCUUACUGGACUGUAACUGACGUUGAGGCUCGAAAGCGUGGGGAGCGAACAGGAUUAGAUACCCGGGUAGUC
rnacentral:rRNA from 1 species